CUGUUUUGUUUCCUGUGCGUGUUUCUACUGUUCCUGGUGUUUGAUUCUUGUUUUUGAUGAUCAGCUUAUCUGCCCAUCUGCUUGAAUGGCUUUGCAUCUGCAGGAAAUUAAUGUCCUUCAAGGGCAGCUGCCAGGAGGCCCACUGCUCUGACCAUCUGCAGAACUGUUCCUCUCCAGCCCACUGCCGAGCUGCACCAUGCUUGUCCCAUUUCACAUAAAGCAGCAGAAGACUGUACUACUCCUAUAGUGGCUUUGCAAAUGUGACACAAAUCUAGCAACCACGACUGGUGCCAUCAAGAAGGUUCACUGGAGAACUGGUUGUGUGCAAGUGAUCUGACAAUAUGACCAAAAAAGAGAGAGGAUUAUAAAAGAUGGUGAUGCUGUAGGUGUGGAUCCAUGGAAUAGUUUUCUACUUUAAGUUAUAUACUUGAGUGGUGCUGCCUUGACAGUACCCCUCAAGUGUGAGACUGAGAAAAACCAUUUUAGCGGUAUAAUUAAUAUGUACAUGUUAUUUGGUAAUGUGAAUAAUGAACAUUUGAUUUCACUGUGGAGGCUACAGUGUAACAUUAGAUCACAGAUCUGGUUCCUAAAGGCAGAUUUAGAAAGCAGAACUGACGUGGUGAAAACACCCUCUCUUGUGUCUAAAGUGAGCAACAGAAGGCCACGAGAGUACACAAACAAAUCCAAAGGGCGAAGACAGACAGACAGGCAGGCAGGCAGUCAGUAGUCAAAGGUUGUGCCCCACCACCUACUUUGACUGCACCAUAAUGUUCUGCCAUCCAAACAAUAGGACAAUAGGCUGAGAAAUAAUGAUGCUGCAAAGGCUGUCUAAAUCCUAUCCAAUCCUUCCUGUCAAAGUAAGAGCACAUUCUCAGAUGGUGUUUUGGUACAUUUGAAGCUAUUAAAACAAGCAAACUGGCAUUGCUGGUACCAGGUCA